UUAGGGUUGGGUUUUUCAUUUCUUUCCCUUCGAGUUCGAUUCCUUCCACAUCAGCUCCUCUCCUCCUUCUGUGACGACGAGACGAUGCCCGCGACCACAUCUCCUCUCCUCUCAAGUAGGUUUUCAUAGUUAUGAUUUCUCUGUCUCACUCUCAUCUGGAUCUCUGUGGAUGGCUUUCUCUCAACCUCUCUGUGGCAGGGUUGGAAGCUUGAGAGUUGUUCAUUCUUGAUAAUGAUAUGGGACUUUAAAUUGAUGGCCUUGAGACUGCAUAUUGUUCAAACCAAAAGCACUGGGUUCUUGAAGGAAGAUGCUAGACGAUGGAGCAUCCAUUUCAGCCUUGAAGAGAUAUUGCGGGUUUCUGUUUUGUAAACUGUGUGUAUUCUGUGUUUGAUAACUUGGAAUUUUAUUUACUCUGUUUACUUGAGAUCUUAAUGUUAAAAUAAUGAUCUAGAACUUGAGAUAGGAUUGAGACAUUUAUUGUCCUCCACGACAAUGGAACAAAUUGGUGUCCAUUACAACCCCUGAGAUCCAUGACUUCUUAUAAUGUAUUAUUUUUGUG